AUAGGGGAGCCGCAGGGAAACCGAGUCUUAAUUGGGCGUUAAGUUGCAGGGUAUAGACCCGAAACCCGGUGAUCUAGCCAUGGGCAGGUUGAAGGUUGGGUAACACUAACUGGAGGACCGAACCGACUAAUGUUGAAAAAUUAGCGGAUGACCUGUGGCUGGGGGUGAAAGGCCAAUCAAACCGGGAGAUAGCUGGUUCUCCCCGAAAGCUAUUUAGGUAGCGCCUCGUGAAUUCAUCUCCGGGGGUAGAGCACUGUUUCGGCUAGGGGGCCAUCCCGGCUUACCAACCCGAUGCAAACUGCGAAUACCGGAGAAUGUUAUCACGGGAGACACACGGCGGGUGCUAACGUCCGUCGUGAAGAGGGAAACAACCCAGACCGCCAGCUAAGGUCCCAAAGUCAUGGUUAAGUGGGAAACGAUGUGGGAAGGCCCAGACAGCCAGGAUGUUGGCUUAGAAGCAGCCAUCAUUUAAAGAAAGCGUAAUAGCUCACUGGUCGAGUCGGCCUGCGCGGAAGAUGUAACGGGGCUAAACCAUGCACCGAAGCUGCGGCAGCGACGCUGAUGCGUUGUUGGGUAGGGGAGCGUUCUGUAAGCCUGUGAAGGUGUGUCGUGAGGCAUGCUGGAGGUAUCAGAAGUGCGAAUGCUGACAUAAGUAACGAUAAAGCGGGUGAAAAGCCCGCUCGCCGGAAGACCAAGGGUUCCUGUCCAACGUUAAUCGGGGCAGGGUGAGUCGACCCCUAAGGCGAGGCCGAAAGGCGUAGUCGAUGGGAAACGGGUUAAUAUUCCCGUACUUGGUGUUACUGCGAAGGGGGGACGGAGAAGGCUAUGUUGGCCGGGCGACGGUUGUCCCGGUUUAAGCGUGUAGGUGUGUGUUCCAGGUAAAUCCGGUUCACUUUAACACUGAGGCGUGAUGACGAGGCACUACGGUGCUGAAGCAACAAAUGCCCUGCUUCCAGGAAAAGCCUCUAAGCAUCAGGUAACAUCAAAUCGUACCCCAAACCGACACAGGUGGUCAGGUAGAGAAUACCAAGGCGCUUGAGAGAACUCGGGUGAAGGAACUAGGCAAAAUGGUGCCGUAACUUCGGGAGAAGGCACGCUGACACGUAGGUGAAGUGAUUUACUCACGGAGCUGAAGUCAGUCGAAGAUACCAGCUGGCUGCAACUGUUUAUUAAAAACACAGCACUGUGCAAACACGAAAGUGGACGUAUACGGUGUGACGCCUGCCCGGUGCCGGAAGGUUAAUUGAUGGGGUCAGCGCAAGCGAAGCUCCUGAUCGAAGCCCCGGUAAACGGCGGCCGUAACUAUAACGGUCCUAAGGUAGCGAAAUUCCUUGUCGGGUAAGUUCCGACCUGCACGAAUGGCGUAAUGAUGGCCAGGCUGUCUCCACCCGAGACUCAGUGAAAUUGAACUCGCUGUGAAGAUGCAGUGUACCCGCGGCAAGACGGAAAGACCCCGUGAACCUUUACUAUAGCUUGACACUGAACAUUGAGCCUUGAUGUGUAGGAUAGGUGGGAGGCUUUGAAGUGUGGACGCCAGUCUGCAUGGAGCCGACCUUGAAAUACCACCCUUUAAUGUUUGAUGUUCUAACGUGGACCCGUAAUCCGGGUUGCGGACAGUGUCUGGUGGGUAGUUUGACUGGGGCGGUCUCCUCCUAAAGAGUAACGGAGGAGCACGAAGGUUGGCUAAUCCUGGUCGGACAUCAGGAGGUUAGUGCAAUGGCAUAAGCCAGCUUGACUGCGAGCGUGACGGCGCGAGCAGGUGCGAAAGCAGGUCAUAGUGAUCCGGUGGUUCUGAAUGGAAGGGCCAUCGCUCAACGGAUAAAAGGUACUCCGGGGAUAACAGGCUGAUACCGCCCAAGAGUUCAUAUCGACGGCGGUGUUUGGCACCUCGAUGUCGGCUCAUCACAUCCUGGGGCUGAAGUAGGUCCCAAGGGUAUGGCUGUUCGCCAUUUAAAGUGGUACGCGAGCUGGGUUUAGAACGUCGUGAGACAGUUCGGUCCCUAUCUGCCGUGGGCGCUGGAGAACUGAGGGGGGCUGCUCCUAGUACGAGAGGACCGGAGUGGACGCAUCACUGGUGUUCGGGUUGUCAUGCCAAUGG
rnacentral:rRNA from 1 species